UCCAGUACAUGUGAUCAAACAAUACAAAACAACAUCAAACUAAAAUCUGCAAAGCUUUCAACUGAGAUUUUAAAAUGAAACAAGGGGUCAUCCACAAAUGCAUGUGGAGACAAUUCCAAAAGUAUGAAACUGUUUCACUGUUGACUUCUUACUACCCAUCUAAACAGAGAAAAGAUAAAUCUGAACACUACAGCAGGAUACAGAAAUCAGCUGAGAGAAGCAGCAGGGAAGCCUUGCCACGGCAAUCCAGAGAACUGUGAAAAGACAGUCUCUUUUCUGUGUCUGCCUGCCAUAAAGAAAAUGACCAUCGAAGUAGGAAUCUGUGGCAGCCGAACCUUAUUUUAAACUGGAAAAUCUCCCCCUAUGGGAUGCAAACAACACAGGAAACUAUUUGAAAACAAAUGUAGCCAGUAUGGGAAAGAAUUGCAUUAGACAACUGGGAUGCAGAAACAUAGUCAGGCCAUUUCUUAUCAGCAUUUCUCACUGACCAGAGAGACUUGGUUGGCAAAUGGAAAUGAGUAGCACUGGAUCACCUUGGAGGAAAACUCACUGUGACAAUUACUUGGCAAGCGAACAAGAAAAAGAUACAGAAACACAGUUGCACAACCUUGGCUUCAAGACCACAGGGGGUGUGCAUAUUGAUAGUUUGUCUGUUUUGUGGCAAAACGCAUCAGGACCCACAAAAACAAAUGUGAAGACAGUUAGGAGAAAGGGACAAGAUGGUAUCAGAUAUAAUAGGCUGCAUUUCUAAAUAUAAAUAGCAUUUCAUUCUCCUGCUUUGGCUUGGCCUUGCCGAAUUGAGACUUCUUGGCUCAGUACUGUUCUGCAUACUAAGAUGGACACAAAAGCAUACACAACACUUCCUGAAGUUUGAUAUUAUGCAUAUGUACUCAGAAGUGCAUUCCACCUGAAUGAGAAUUACUUUUUAGUUCACUAUGUCUAGGAUUACCUUCUGAAUAUUCUUAAUAUUUAUACAGAAAUGCUUUUCUUGAUUUGUGCCCCAAUUCCACCUGCUGUACACAUAUUAAAGAUAUAGAGAAUGCUG